rnacentral:lncRNA from 1 species
AAAUUGAUACAUUACCUUGUGCAUCUCCACCAGUUACAGAUACCACCCCUGGAUGGAGGAAGAGUACUUCUAGAGAAGAUGUCACAUCUACCUAUGAGACAGAUAAAGGCAAGUCAAGACGAUACCACACUCCGGUACUUAGAAGUUUCGUGGCUACGAGAUCAUUCUCCCACAAUAUUUCCUAAUGUCAUUUGUACUAAAUCAUUCACUUGUACUCACUAAAGGAGAGCUUGAAUCUAUGUACUUGUGUAAACCCUUCACAAUUAAUGAGAACUCCUCUAUUCCGUGGACGUAGCCAAUCUGGGUGAAUCACGUAUAUCUUGUGUUUGCUUUCCUAUCUAUAUCCAUUUAUAUACUUAUCCACACUAAUGACCGGAGCAAUCUAGCGAAGAUCACAAAAAGUGAUCGUUUUCGCUACCUAGGAUCUAUCUUGCAAGAGAACGGAGAAUUAGAUGGAGAUCUCAACCAUAGAAUACAAGCUGGAUGGAUGAAGUGUAAGAGUGCAUCCGGCGUGUUGUGUGACCGUCGUAGGCCACUAAAGCUCAAGGGAAAAUUUUAUAGGACGGCAUUAAGGCCAGCGAUGUUGUAUGGCACAGAAUGUUGGGCGGUGAAGCAUCAACGUACACAAAAUGGGUGUAGCGG